ensembl:lncRNA
CAAUAUUUUUAAUUUUUUUUUUUUACAGACAGAAUUCUAAGGAUUUUGCAAACCACCACAGAACACACACAAAAACAAAGGACAUUGCCACAUUAAAAGGCAUCUUUAGGACUUAGAAUACAACAACAUCAAAUAUGCAAUUGACAACUUCUUGUUCUGCAUAGUACUGAAAGGAGGACCCUACUGGAACAGUAACAAGGAAUUCCUGAUUCAGGGAUUUCUUUACAACUGUGAAGUGUUGUUAAUAGAAUAUAAGGAGUACUGGAGAUUUUAAAGAAAAAGAUGGGAGUUUUGUGUGAGGUUUCAGCUGUCCAGAAAUUCUAUGCUAACAACUUUGCAGUUUAAACUAAAACCAAAUUUUUUAACUUUCAGAGUUUUCAUUUAUUUUAUAAAACAUUUAUUAUCUCUAAUCAAAGAUACUGAUGUUCUCCAUAAAAAUUUAAAAGGCAAGGAAAUAAACUUUCCAAAUCUCAAGAAACUUUUAGAGGUAGAAGCUUAGAAGGACCACUUAAGGGUGAUUCCCAGCAUCAUGCUCAGGCCCACUUCCCUAUCAUCACCUCCAUUAAGUGCAUAAUGUUGAGCUCACACAAGGCACUGUGAUAAAGCCUUGCUAAGAGACUGGAACUGCACCAACAGCCAGCUCCUUACUGAUUCCCAACUAGUAAGUCUUGAGGCAUUUGCACUGGCACACACUCAGCACAGCAAUCAAGGCAUUUUUGGGCAACACCAAUCACAUCAGUUAAAUGUGGUAUUAUUUCACAAGCUUUUUCAUUUCCAUCUUCUUCUUCCUAAUCCAUUUUUCCAUGCUGAAAAGGCUGUCACCUCCUGAAAAUAAAUGAACAAAAAAAAAAGUCCUAAUGAAGACAAUAAUUUCAAUUCCAAACAUGCACUUUUUUUAGCGCAGGCCUGGAGGUAUAGGCUGUAUUAAGAUGAAGUUCCAUGAUGGACUAAGACAGCGAUCAAGCUGCUUCCUGGUUUGCUUUCCACCAAUUCUCUAAUUAAUGGUUCCCAUUUGUCCACAGGCUGAGAGAUUUAUAUACACGCAUUAAGCCAUCCACAAGGGUCACCAAGACCUUUGUUUUAUGUAAUCACAACUAAUGCAGAGCCCACGGCUGGAUAUGUAUUCAGACUAAAACACUAAAUAACAGAAUGGGAAAAAAUAUUAUUGUACUUUAAUUUUACCAUAAGAUAAACAUACUGAGAUCAGUUCAGGUAAAAUAGACCUGACCUCAAAUUUUACUGCAAAUAAGUGUUUUAGGUGAAUUUUUUUUACUGUAGUGGAUUCUUUUUUUGCCUAGUUGAUUUGUGUUAAGUACUCAAAUUAAAUAAAAAAUAUAAAGACCACUGAAGGCCAGUUCUGUGUGACCUAAGCUCCGAUAUUUAGGUUUGUAAAUGACCUUGAAAAGAUGUGAGGGGAAACUCCAGAUUUGACACAAUGAAACAAAGACAGUUGAGGCAUGCAAGAGGCUAGAAAAAGAGGCUGCAUCAUGUAGCAGCUGUAAUUUCAAAAGAUUAAAAAAAGAAAACAAUCCACGAGCAAAUGCCUAACAUUAGCAUCUUAGACAUAAAUGUUGUGUCACUGAAAUUAUAGAAAGGCAUGUGGUAAAUAGUAUUCAUGCAAAAUGAAUUAGCAUUAAACAAAAAAAGAUCCAAACACACCAACCCCACCCACUCCUGCAUUUAUAGCUUCCCCCUCUUCCUUCGGG